ACCAAAACUAGCUCAAAACAUAUUAAAACUAAACCAGAAUUACAACUACAAAUAAAACAUUUAUGUAAUAAAAGUAUAGGAGAUAGAAAUUUAUUAAUUGACGCUAUAGAGAUAGUACCGCAAGGGAAAGAUGAAAUAUUAUUUAAUAGUACAGCAAAGCAUAGACUAAUACUAGUACCUUUUGCAUAAUGAUUUAACAAGAAUAACCCUAGCAAAGCGAACUUAGUUAGACACCCCGAAACCAGACGAGCUACUUAGAGACAGUUUUCAGAACCAACCCGUCUAUGUUGCAAAAUAGUGGGACGAUCUCUAAGUAGAGGUGAAAAGCCUAACGAGCCUGGUGAUAGCUGGUUAUCCAAAUAUGAAUUUAAGUUCUACUUUAAAUAUACCUAAACAAACUACAAUGCAUAUGUAUAUUUAAAAGCUACCCUAUAGAGGUACAGCUCUCUAGGUAUAAGGGAACAACCUAUUUUAGUGAAUAAACUACUUUUAUCAUACUUAGUGGGCCUGAAAGCAGCCAUCACUCAAAAAAGCGUUAAAGCUUAAUAAUUAAACUAAUUAUAAUCCAAAACUCUAAACUUAAUUCCUACAACCAAUAUUGGAUAAUUCUACUACUCAGUAGAAGCUACACUGUUAAUAUGAGUAACAAGAAAUAAUUCUCCUUGCAUAAGCCUACAUCUAACACCUUGUUUCGAUAAUUAAACAACAUAAUAGUCUCAAUCCACCCAUAAACAAGCUAUCAACCCACUGUUAACCCCACAUAGGAAUGCAAACAGGAAAGAUUAAAAGAAAUGAAAGGAACUCGGCAAACACAAGCCCCGCCUGUUUACCAAAAACAUCACCUCUAGCAUAUUAAGUAUUAGAGGCAACGCCUGCCCAGUGACACCUGUUCAACGGCCGCGGUAUACUGACCGUGCAAAGGUAGCAUAAUCACUUGUUCCUUAAUUAGGGACUUGUAUGAAUGGCUUAACGAGGGCUUUACUGUCUCUCUAAUCUAAUCAGUGAAAUUGACCUUCUCGUGAAGAGGCAAGAAUGAAAAAAUAAGACGAGAAGACCCUAUGGAGCUUUAACUAUUUUUUAAUAAUAACAAUCCCAAGUACAAUCUUAGUACCUAACUAAUAAUUAAUAUAAAUUCAAAAGUUUUGGUUGGGGUGACCUCGGAGCAUAAAAAAACCUCCGAAUGACUACAACUCUGACUAACAAGUCUAGGUAAUAUUAGUCAUCAAUUGACCCAUUUUUUGAUCAAUGAACCAAGUUACCCUAGGGAUAACAGCGCAAUCCUAUUCAAGAGUUCUUAUCGACAAUUUAGGGUUUACGACCUCGAUGUUGGAUCAGGACAUCCUAAUGGUGUAGCAGCUAAUAAUGGUUCGUUUGUUCAACGAUUAAAGUCCUACGUGAUCUGAGUUCAGACCGGAGUAAUCCAGGUCGGUUUCUAUCUAUUAUAGGUUUCUCCCAGUACGAAAGGACAAGAGAAAUAGAGCCUACUGAAAUUCAGCGCUCUAAAGAAAAAAUAUGACAUACUAAUUAAUAUUGAAUACUUUCAUCAAUCACAAUUAAAGAAAAUAAUUCA
rnacentral:rRNA from 1 species